rnacentral:rRNA from 1 species
AGCUCCAGUAGCGUAUAUUAAAGUUGUUGCAGUUAAAAAGCUCGUAGUUGGAUUUCUGGUUUGGCGAACCUGACCCGCUUCUAUUUGGAGUGUGUGUCGGCCGUUGCCUACCAUCCUUCCAGAGAACUUUGCCUCCCCUUCAUUGGGAUGGGCUAGCGAUCUGGAACUUUUACUUUGAAAAAAUUAGAGUGUUCAAAGCAGGCUUUGCGCUAUGAAUACAUUAGCAUGGAAUAAUAAUUUAGGACUACGGUUCUAUUUUGUUGGUUUCUAGAACUGAAGUAAUGAUUGAUAGGGAUAGUUGGGGGUGCUAGUAUUCAGCGGCCAGAGGUGAAAUUCUUGGAUUCGCUGAAGACUAACUUAUGCGAAAGCAUUCACCAAGGAUGUCUUCUUUA